rnacentral:rRNA from 1 species
GCAAGUCGAGCGGAAACGAUGGGAGCUUGCUCCCAGGCGUCGAGCGGCGGACGGGUGAGUACGCGUAGGAAUCUACCCAGUAGCGGGGCAUAGUCUGUAGAAACGCUCAUUAAUACCGCAUACCCCCCACGGGGGAAAGGCCGGGAUCUUCGGACCGGUCACUAUUGGAGGAGCCUGCGUUGGAUUAGCUAGUUGGUGAGGUAAAGGCUCACCAAGGCGACGAUCCAUAGCUGUUCUGAGAGGAAGAUC